rnacentral:rRNA from 1 species
CCUUGUACACACCGCCCGUCACACCACGAAAGCUGGUUGCACCAGAAGCCGGUGACCCAACCGCAAGGAGGGAGCCGUCCAGGGUUUGACUAGUGAUUGGGGUG